rnacentral:rRNA from 1 species
GACGAACGCUGGCGGCGUGCUUAACACAUGCAAGUCGAACGGAAAGGCCCUGCUUUUGUGGGGUGCUCGAGUGGCGAACGGGUGAGUAACACGUGAGUAACCUGCCCUUGACUUUGGGAUAACUUCAGGAAACUGGGGCUAAUACCGGAUAGGAGCUCCUGCUGCAUGGUGGGGGUUGGAAAGUUUCGGCGGUUGGGGAUGGACUCGCGGCUUAUCAGCUUGUUGGUGGGGUAGUGGCUUACCAAGGCUUUGACGGGUAGCCGGCCUGAGAGGGUGACCGGCCACAUUGGGACUGAGAUACGGCCCAGACGCCUACGGGAGGCAGCAGUGGGGAAUAUUGCACAAUGGGCGGAAGCCUGAUGCAGCAACGCCGCGUGCGGGAUGACGGCCUUCGGGUUGUAAACCGCUUUCGCCUGUGACGAAGCGUGAGUGACGGUAAUGAGUAAAGAAGCACCGGCUAACUACGUG